UCGGGAAUUUUGCACAAUGGCCGAAAGGCUGAUGCAGCAACGCCGCGUGAGCGAAGAAGGCCUUCGGGUUGUAAAGCUCUGUUGCCUGCGAAGAAGGGCCCUGUCAGGAAAUGGGCGGGGUUUGACGGUAGCAGGCGAGGAAGCCCCGGCAAACUACGUGCCAGCAGCCGCGGUAAUACGUAGGGGGCGAGCGUUGUCCGGAAUUACUGGGCGUAAAGGGCGUGUAGGCGGCCUGUUAAGUCAGGGGUGAAAGACCGGGGCUCAACCCCGGGGGUGCCUCUGAAACUGGCGGGCUUGAGUGCUCUAGAGGGCAGUGGAAUUCCCGGUGUAGCAGUGAAAUGCGUAGAGAGCGGGAGGAACACCAGUGGCGAAGGCGGCUGCCUGGGGAGUCACUGACGCUGAGGCGCGAAAGCUAGGGGAGCAAACAGG
rnacentral:rRNA from 1 species